GACAGAGGAUGCAAGCGUUAUCCGGAAUGAUUGGGCGUAAAGCGUCUGUAGGUGGCUUUUAAGUCCGCCGUCAAAUCCCAGGGCUCAACCCUGGACAGGCGGUGGAAACUACCAAGCUGGAGUACGGUAGGGCAGAGGGAAUUCCGGUGGAGCGGUGAAAUGCGUAGAGAUCGGGAAGAACACCAAUGGGCGAAAGCACUCUGCUGGGCCGAAACUGACACUGAGAGACGAAAGCUAGGGGAGCGAAUGGG
rnacentral:rRNA from 1 species